rnacentral:rRNA from 1 species
CUUUCCAUGCAAGUCGAACGGUAACAGGUCUUCGGAUGCUGACGAGUGGCGAACGGGUGAGUAAUACAUCGGAACGUGCCUAGUAGUGGGGGAUAACUACUCGAAAGAGUAGCUAAUACCGCAUGAGAUCUACGGAUGAAAGCAGGGGACCUUCGGGCCUUGUGCUACUAGAGCGGCUGAUGGCAGAUUAGGUAGUUGGUGGGGUAAAGGCUUACCAAGCCUGCGAUCUGUAGCUGGUCUGAGAGGACGACCAGCCACACUGGGACUGAGACACGGCCCAGACUCCUACGGGAAGCAGCAGUGGGGAAUUUUGGACAAUGGGCGAAAGCCUGAUCCAGCAAUGCCGCGUGCAGGAUGAAGGCCCUCGGGUUGUAAACUGCUUUUGUACGGAACGAAAGGCCUGAGGCUAAUAUCCUCGGGUCAUGACGGUACCGUAAGAAUAAGCACCGGCUAACUACGUGCCAGCAGCCGCGGUAAUACGUAGGGUGCAAGCGUUAAUCGGAAUUACUGGGCGUAAAGCGUGCGCAGGCGGUUUUGUAAGACAGAGGUGAAAUCCCCGGGCUCAACCUGGGAACUGCCUUUGUGACUGCAAGGCUAGAGUGCGGCAGAGGGGGAUGGAAUUCCGCGUGUAGCAGUGAAAUGCGUAGAUAUGCGGAGGAACACCGAUGGCGAAGGCAAUCCCCUGGGCCUGCACUGACGCUCAUGCACGAAAGCGUGGGGAGCAAACAGGAUUAGAUAC